GUGAAAUUGUUGAAAGGGAAACGAUUAAAGUCAGUCGUACUAACGGGGAAUCAACCUUUUGAGGGUGGAAUUGUGGGAUUCAACCUGCUUUUUUUGGGUGCACUUUCUCGUAUUGUAGGUCAGCAUCGGUUUCGAUCGUUGUAAAAUGACUGGAGGAAUGUAGCUUUGAUCUCGUAUUGAAGUGUUAUAGCCUUUGGUAGAUGUAACGGUUGGGAUCGAGGAUUGCAAUGAAUACCCUUAUGGGCUGUCACUCUGGUGCCGAUAGCUUGCUUACGGUAUUAUUAGUGUACGGUCAAAAGGCUAGAACGGAUUAAAUUCGUUAAGGAUAUUGACGUAAUGGCUUUAAACGAC
rnacentral:rRNA from 1 species